UUGCUUCUGCAGCAUAUCUACUGAAAUUGAAACGAUACAGAGAAAAUAAACAUUAUUCCUGUACACGGAUGACACUCAAACCCAUGAAGCAUUCCAUAUUUUU